CCCUUUUGAAAAGCAUUCAUUGGGCCUACCUCUCAUGACCCACUGAGCCGUCGAGAAAGGGCGAAGUAAAAAGGGCUUUUGGGUGAAACGGCAGCGUGUCCUGCUGUUUUGCUUCAAUCGGCGGUGUGACAAGG